rnacentral:rRNA from 1 species
GACGAACGCUGGCGGCGUGCUUAACACAUGCAAGUCGAACGGAAAGGCCCUGCUUUUGUGGGGUGCUCGAGUGGCGAACGCGUGAGUAACACGUGAGUAACCUGCCCUUGUCUUUGGGAUAACUUCAGGAAACUGGGGCUCAUAUCGGAUAGAAUCUCCUGCUGCAUGGUGUGGGUUGGAAAGUUUCGGCGGUUUGGGAUGGACUCGCGGCUUAUCCGCUUGUUGGUGGGGUAGUGGCUUACCCAGCCUUUGACGGGUAGCCGGCCUGAGAGCGUUACCGGCCACAUUGGGACUGAGAGACGGCCCAGAAGCCUACGGGAGGCAGCAGUGGGGAAUAUUGCACAAUGGGCGGAAGCCUGAUGCAGAAACGCCGCGUGCGGGAUGACGGCCUUCGGGUUGUAAACCGCUGUCGCCUGUAAUGAAGCGUGAGUGACGGUAAUGGGUAAAGAAGCACCGGCUAACUACGUG